UUUAUUUAUUCCAUUUAUUCAUAAUAAAGCCUUUCACUGAUUAUUCAUUUAGCUUUCCUGCUUGUAAAAAUUCCUUGCAACCACCAGUCCGGAACAAAAUUACACCAUGUUGUAUUGGCUCUCGGCUCACAGAGAGACAGCCCAGGGUCAAUGCAGAAUGCAGCAAAUCUAUACUGGACACAAAUAGCAGGCUGAGAUAUAUCAUUGAUCAGCUGCAGGCUCCCUCAACCAACACAAGCGGCUGGACUGGAAUGCAUCAUAAGGAUAUUAGUAUGAGAUUAUGAUAUCUGGCCUUGAUAUGUGCGGAAUUCGUGUGAGGCUUUCUGGAAGGGGAGACUGGAUGUCCAUCUGCCAGGCUGACAGUAAUCUCAGCGCUCAUAUUCCCAGGUUCUGUACGGAGGAUUGUGAGCAAGACGACGAGAUGGAGGAUGAUGGAAGUGAAGCGAGAGGAAAAGGAAGGUCGCUCUGAAGGCCUAAACUGUUUGUGAGGUCGAGUUACCUUUCCGUGCCAAGAACAUGCCAAGCAGGCCAGCCACGGUGAUGGUGCCAAAU